rnacentral:rRNA from 1 species
UACGGGGGGGGGGCAAGCGUUGCUCGGAAUUACUGGGCGUAAAGCGCACGUAGGCGGCCUUUCAAGUCAGAUGUGAAAGCCCCGGGCUUAACUCGGGAAAUGCAUUUGAUACUGUUGGGCUAGAGACCGGGAGAGGAUAGCGGAAUUCCCAGUGUAGAGGUGAAAUUCGUAGAUAUUGGGAAGAACACCAGUGGCGAGGCGGCUAUCUGGACCGGUACUGACGCUGAGGUGCGAAAGCGUGGGGAGCAAACAGG